UACGUAGGUGGCGAGCGUUAUCCGGAUUUACUGGGCGUAAAGUGAGCGCAGACGGUUCUUCAAGUCAGAUGUUAAAUCUCUCAGCCUAACUGGGUGGUCGCAUUUGAUACUGCUGAACUAGAGGACAAUAGGGGGAGGUAGAAUUCCCGGUGUAGUGGUGGAAUGCGUAGAUAUCGGGAGGAAUACCAGUGGCGAAGGCGGCCUCCUAGGUUGUUUCUGACGUUCAUGCUCGAAGGUGUGGGGAGCAAAC
rnacentral:rRNA from 1 species